GACAACUUAGGUUUCUAUUUUCUCGAUUUCUUCUCUAAUGAAGUGAUGCCUAAUAUCUAUAUGUUUUAUUAUGUUGUGAAACUUGUGAUUCUUAGUUAGAUAUAGUACGCUCUAGUUAUCACAAUAUAUUUUGAUUUUUGCUUGUUUGAUUAUGAAAUCAUUCAAUAACUCUUUUUCUCUCCGAGUUUGAAAUCCCCACAUCACAUUUGACUUAUGUGUCAAUUAAAGAGCCUGCAUGAAUAUUGAUUGAGAUAUUAGGAAGCUUUUAUUUUUCUUUCGUGCUUCAAAUUUAGCAUUGAUUGACAAAUUUGCAUGGAGGUUAUUGUGAGCUCUAUUUGAACCAAAGUGUGAUUGAUCACUUUUGCUUGCUUGUGUUAUGGAGUUUUCUUUCUUAGUUUGAACGUUAUUUCAAAUUUUCAAGUUUUAAAACAUGACAUAACAAAAGGAAACGUUAACAAGCAAGAAAAACAGUACACACAUACAUUUAUAUAUGAAUAUGUGAGUCUAAAUUUACGUAGUUUUGCUUUCAAAUUUUCAAGAAUGAACUAACUCAAUUGAAUUCUAAUUUUGGUCGUUCCAAUUACACAAUUGAGUUUGACUUCUAAAAGGUGUAGGCUGGAAAAAGAGGUGAGCUAACAUGAAGUGGAAGAACCUUAACAAGAGGAGCAUUAGAUUCGUUGAGAAAUGGGAGAGACUUCAUGGCUCCCAUUUCUGAAACUUUUGCAAUCGAUAUUAAUGUCGAUCUUGACAGGGGCUGAAAUCUUGGAGGAAUGUUGGGAUAAAGAUUUAGGAAUUAAUUUCUCUUUCUUAGAAGAAACUGAAUCUACACAAAGGUCUUCUUCUCUGUUUCCAAUCAUCUGAGGUACUCUUGUAGGUUGUUAAAUUCUCGGAGGAAAUUCUAAGAUACUAUGAGAAAUUUAAAGGAUAUGCUUCAACAAUGAGCCUGAUGGUUACAUUAGAAACUAGGUAUUUUGUUUUUAUUUCUAUUUUCGUCCUCCACCUUUAAUAUCUACAUGGAAAUCGCUACUUUGGUCUAUUUAUCAAGUAGUUCAAAUUCAACUACAUCAAGGCAUCAUAUGAAUUUCUUUUUUCUCUAACGACUUGGUCAGCAUGUUGAAGCAUUGCUCGAGGUCUGAAAUCUUGGAUGAAUGUUGGGAUGAGGAUUUAGGAAUUAAUUCCUCUUAUGAGAAUCUGAAUCUAUAUAAAGGUCUUCUUCUCUGUUUCCAAUCAUUUGUCGAAAUCUUGUAGGUUCUUUAUUUCUUUGUGGAAAUUCUAUGAUAGUCUAAGGUAAUUCUUGCUUUCUUUAUAGGUUUUGUUCCUUGUUUUCAUGCCAUUGUUGAAAAUCUUGAGGUUGUUUUCAUGCCAUGCUUGGUUUAUCACAAGAACUUGUUGAGUGUUUCUUGGUUGAUUAUCAACCAUUCUUCCUGUUGGAUCUAAAACCCAAAUGUCCAUACCCGAAGUGAAAUCUUCUGGUAUAAGAGAUUCUCCACGCUAAUUUUCCAUUUACCACACAGUUGUACAUAAAUGAAAGGAUAAAAGAUUUUUGAAGGUAGAACAAUUAACAAGUAGAAGAAGAUGAAGAGAAAGAAAUUUAAAGAAUAUGCUUCAACAAUGAGCCUAAUGGUUACAUCAGAAAACAGGUUGGAAAAGGAGGUGAGCUAACAUGAAAUGGAAGAACCAUAACAAGAGGAGCACUAGAUUCGUUGAGAAAUUGGAGAGAGACUCCAUGACUCGCAGUUGUGAAUCUUUCCAAUCGCUAUUAAUGUCGAUCUUGACAGGCUUUCAACAAAGAGGAAUUUCUCUCGUUCUCUUUCAGUUACACAUAAUAGAAGGGAUAGAAGAUUUUUGAAGGUAGAACGAUCAAUAAGUAGAAGAAGAUGAUAAGAAGAAAGGUUUGGGAAAGAAGAACGAACUAUAGAGGAAAUUUAAAGGAUAUGCUUCAACAAUGAGCCUGAUGCUUGCAUCAGGAAAAAGCAAGAUUGGAGGCAAUGAGAUUGAAGGGGCAUAUCUUACUUCACAGUUGACGUUCUUUCGGUUCUUCCACUCCCCCAGGUGGUGGUUUUAGUUCUCAUUUCAAGAUUAAGAGGAAAUGGAUUUAUAUACGCAGUGAGGUCGUUGAAAUAUAUUCUCAUUGUUCAAUAUUUGCCAAGGGUCUUUCAAAUCUAUUCAUUCUUAAAGAAAGAUGGACUUUUAGCAUUCUCCCAGAAAGUGCCGAGGCUAAAGCUGCAUUUAAUCUCUUCCUUUAUAUGCUUCCAACCCAUGAUUGUUCUUUGAAGACAGACCAAAGGAAGGGUGUUGGUGUUGAGUGAAGGAAAAGCGUGAUAAGUGGUAGGGGUACUCUCUCACCACCGACUCAGAUGACAAGGAAACUUCCGACUCUCUAGUGUCCACCACGCUGGCCAAGAUACUCCAAGUACCAUGGUUGAGUAGCAUACUGACUUUCAAAGCCGAAAUGAUUUUGGGUAGGACUACAGUCCCUGUCCCCUUAUACUUAAAGCUAGCCACUGAAGGAGGGUUAAAAACUACCAUCUUGCGAGAACAAUCAAUACUUGCAUAGUUGGCAGACAACUAAUCCGUGCCUAAAAUUACAUUAAAAUUCUGCAUGUCCAACACUAGCAAGGCCAUGUCCAACACAUGGUUCGCUACCUUUACUUGACAUGUCUUUAUCUGAUCUUUAGACAACAUGACUUCUCUCGAUGGGGUAGAAAUAAAUAGUAUACUACCCAACGGUUCAACUUCUAAACCCAUUUGCCGAACAAAAUCUAAGGAUAUGAAAGAAUGGGAUGACCCAGAGUCAAACAAUACAAGUGCAUAAUGCCCCAAGAGUGGGAGCGUACCUGUCACCACGGUACUAGCUUGCUCUGCCUCCUGACGAGUAAUGGCAAAAACUCUUCCCUGCUGGGAAACGGAAGGUUGGUGCGGGGUAGUCUCAAUGAGUUUCUGAGGACAAACGUCAGCGGUAUGCCCUGGUUGCUUGUACCUGAAGCAAACCCCGCUCCCUACCAGGCAACGACAAGCAGGUAGCUCUCUCAAUGUUCUUUCUGCUACAGCAAGCUCCUGACGGUGCCGCUGGAAGACACCUCCCGACCUCAGGUUCCGUUGCGGUGCUAAGGCAAUCGGUGGCUCAACCUUCCUCUUCUGACCGAGAGUAAACCAUCUGCCUGCAGCCUUGGACGGAUUAGCGCUCUCAUGCAGACUUGUGUGGGGAACUCUUCACUUUUGGCCUAACCACAACCACACCUGCCUUGCCCUUAGAGUUCAGCCAGUUAGGUCAAGUAGAAUGUGUUGGGCUCCCUUAGUAUCAGAACUUGUGUGGGGAACUCUUCACUUUUGGCUUAACCAAAACUAGACCUGCCUUGCCCUUAGAGUUAAGCCGCUUAGGUCAAUUAGAAUGCGUUGGGCUCUCUCAGUAUCAGAACUUGUGUGGGGAACUCUUUACUUUUGGCCUAACCAAAACCAGACCUUCCUAGCCCUUAGUGUUUAGUCGGUUAGGUCAAGUAGAAUGGUUGGGCUCUCUUAGUAUCAGAACUUGUGUAGGGAACUCUUCACUUUUAGCCUAAUCACAACCAGACUUGUCUAGCCCUCAAUGUUCAGCCAGAUAGGUCAAGUAGAAUGCGUUGGGCUCCCUCAGUAUCAGAACUUGUGUGGGGAACUCUUCAUUUUUGGCCUAACCAAAACCAUACUUGUCUUGCCCUUAGAGUUCAGUCGGGUAGGUCAAGUAGAAUGCAUGCAAUUCUUGGGGAAUGUUAUUAAAAAAAUUAAAGUUUGCUUAAUUUGUGAUUGAUAUGAAAAUAAAUGUCGUUUUUACUUGAAAA